rnacentral:rRNA from 1 species
AACGGGUGAGUAACGCGUGAGGAACCUGCCUCAAANAGGGGGACAACAGUUGGAAACGACUGCUAAUACCGCAUAAGCCCACGGUGCCGCAUGGCACAGAGGGAAAAGGAGCAAUCCGCUUUGAGAUGGCCUCGCGUCCGAUUAGCUAGUUGGUGAGGUAACGGCCCACCAAGGCAACGAUCGGUAGCCGGACUGAGAGGUUGAACGGCCACAUUGGGACUGAGACACGGCCCAGACUCCUACGGGAGGCAGCAUG